rnacentral:rRNA from 1 species
GACGAACGCUGGCGGCGUGCUUAACACAUGCAAGUCGAACGGAAAGGCCCUGCUUUUGUGGGGUGCUCGAGUGGCGAACGGGUGAGUAACACGUGAGUAACCUGCCCUUGACUUUGGGAUAACUUCAGGAAACUGGGGCUAAUACCGGAUAGGAGCUCCUGCUGCAUGGUGGGGGUUGGAAAGUUUCGGCGGUUGGGGAUGGACUCGCGGCUUAUCAGCUUGUUGGUGGAGUAGUGGCUUACCAAGGCUUUGACGGGUAGCCGGCCUGAGAGGGUGACCGGCAUCAUUGGGACUGAGAUACGGCCCAGACUACGACGGGAGGCAGCAGUGGGGAAUAUUGCACAAUGGGCGGAAGCCUGAUGCAGCAACGCCGCGUGCGGGAUGACGGCCUUCGGGUUGUAAACCGCUUUCGCCUGUGACGCAGCGUGAGUGACGGUAAUGGGUAAAGAAGCACCGGCUAACUACGUG